rnacentral:misc_RNA from 1 species
GUGAAUCAUCAAAUUUUUGAACGCAAAUUGCACUCUCUUCGGAGAGUAUGCCUGUUUGAGGGUCAGCUUAAAAAAAAAUCGACAUAGUCGCUGUUUCGCGGUUACAUUCGUCGGAAAUUGGGUCAUCUUAAACCUUUUUGUUUUAAGCGGCUUAAAAUUUUCUUUACGAUUCUACGAACGUUCCUAAGUUUUACUUCUUAUACUUUUAAGGUAUCGAUCUUUAUUAGACGUUGCCGUUGCAUCGGAUCUCUUCCAUAAAUAUUACGUUAACUUACCUCAGACAGGUAAGAACCCCCGC